GCGUGUGUGUGUGUGUGUGUGUGUGUGUGUGUGUGUGUGUGUGUGUAUGCAGUUUGUAUAGAGUAUUUAAAAUCAAGACUCAGGCAAGUUUAAGGUUCAAGUGCAUGACAUCAGCACUAUUGGCCUUUGAAAGGGCCAAGUAAUUCUCUUAGAGCUGGGCGCGGUGGUGUAUGCCUGUAGUCCCAGCUACUCGGGAGGCUGAGACAGGAGGAUCGCUUGAGUCCAGGAGUUCUGGGCUGUAGUGCGUUAUGCCGAUCAGGUGUCUGCACUAAGUUCAGCAUCAAUAUGGUGACCUCCCGGGAGCGGGGGACCCUCAGGUUGCCUAAGGAGGGAUGAACCGGCCCAGGUCGGAAACGGAGCAGGUCAAAACUCCCGUGCUGGGACUAAA